rnacentral:misc_RNA from 1 species
GAUGAAGAACGGAGCGAAAUGCGAUAAGUAAUGUGAAUUGCAGAAUUCAGUGAAUCAUCGAAUCUUUGAACGCACAUUGCGCCCCCUGGUAUUCCGGGGGGCAUGCCUGUUCGAGCGUCAUUUCACCACUCAAGCCUCGCUUGGUAUUGGGCAUCGCGGUCCGCCGCGCGCCUCAAAUCGACCGGCUGGGUCUUCUGUCCCCUAAGCGUUGUGGAAACUAUUCGCUAAAGGGUGUUCGGGAGGCUACGCCGUAAAACAACCCCAUUUCUAAGGUUGACCUCGGAUCAGGAAGGGAUACCCGCUGAACUUAAGCAUAUCAAUAAGCGGAGGA